rnacentral:lncRNA from 1 species
GAGUCUUCUGCAGCUGUGUCCACCAAGAAGGCCACAUUCCUGGACUGACCUCCACUUAAUUACUCUGAUCAACAAAGCCCCAGACUUUGUCCUCAAAAGUGGAGAGAGUAUUUUCUGAUAUGAAAAGUAGUUUUGCCUCCUCACCUAUCCUAGGCCAGCCGCUGCUGUGGGCUCCACCCUCGGAAGUUCCUUGGAGUCUCCUCUUCUUGAGCAAACCAUCUUCUGGAACUGCUCCCGAAUACAAGGGAAUUCUGAGGAUCUGAAGGAUACCUCUUGAAAACCAGCAAUCAAGACAGCAAUCAAGGAACUGCUAUCAGGAUGAGGUGGUGCUAGUGUUAAAGAACACAUCUGCCAAUGCUGGAGACAUAAGAGACAUGGGUUCGAUCCCUCGGUAGGGAAGAUCUCCAGGAGGGAGGGCCUGCAACCCAUUCCAGUAUUCUUGCUGGAGAAUCCCAUGGACAAAGGAGCCUGGCGGGCUACAGUCUAUGGGGUCGCGAAGAGUUGAACAUGACUGAAACAAUUUAGCAUGCACGCAUAGGGACGACAGAUCUGACCAAGAAUGGGCAACAGUGGCUUAACGUGACCUGGAAUAACUCUAUUUAGAUUGGUUUGAUUAGAUUUCAUCUCUGCCUAUGAGAGUUGGAGGAGGCUUAGAAAACUACAGCAGAAUUGUGCAAGAAAUCAUAUAA